rnacentral:rRNA from 1 species
UGGGGAAUAUUGGACAAUGGGCGAAAGCCUGAUCCAGCCAUGCCGCGUGUGUGAAGAAGGUCUUCGGAUUGUAAAGCACUUUAAGUUGGGAGGAAGGGCAGUAAAUUAAUACUCUGCAAUUUUGACGUUACCGACAGAAUAAGCACCGGCUAACUCUGUGCCAGCAGCCGCGGUAAUACAGAGGGUGCAAGCGUUAAUCGGAAUUACUGGGCGUAAAGCGCGCGUAGGUGGUUAGUUAAGUUGGAUGUGAAAUCCCCGGGCUCAACCUGGGAACUGCAUUCAAAACUGACUGACUAGAGUAUGGUAGAGGGUGGUGGAAUUUCCUGUGUAGCGGUGAAAUGCGUAGAUAUAGGAAGGAACACCAGUGGCGAAGGCGACCACCUGGACUGAUACUGACACUGAGGUGCGAAAGCGUGGGGAGCAAACAGGAUUAGAUACCCCCGUAGUCCCUGAGCGGGCUGGCAAGGCGCAU